GAACGAUAAAGUGGAGCAAUCCAUGAGUACAGUGGCGACNCGGGUGAGUAACACGUGACCAACCUACCUUCGAGUGGGGGAUAACUCCGGGAAACCGGGGCUAAUACCGACAAUAAUAUCUUCGGGAUGAAAAGCCGGAGAUCAAAGAAGCAAUUCGCUUGAAGAGGGGGUCGCGGCUGAUUAGCUAGUUGGCGGGGUAACGGCCCACCAAGGCGAUGAUCGGUAACCGGCCUGAGAGGGCGCACGGCCACACUGGAACUGAAACACGGUCCAGACUCCUACGGGAGGCAGCAGUGGGGAAUAUUGGACAAUGGGCGCAAGCCUGAUCCAGCCAUGCCGCGUGGGUGAUGAAGGCCUUAGGGUUGUAAAGCCCUUUCGGCGGGGAAGAUAAUGACGGUACCCGCAGAAGAAGCCCCGGCUAACUUCGUG
rnacentral:rRNA from 1 species